UACGAAGGGGGCCAGCGUUGCUCGGAAUCACUGGGCGUAAAGGGUGCGUAGGCGGGUCUUUAAGUCCGGGGUGAAAUCCUGGAGCUCAACUCCAGAACUGCCUUUGAUACUGAGAAGCUUGAGUCCGGGAGAGGUGAGUGGAACUGCGAGUGUAGAGGUGAAAUUCGUAGAUAUUCGCAAGAACACCAGUGGCGAAGGCGGCUCACUGGCCCGGUACUGACGCUGAGGUGCGAAAGCGUGGGGAGCAAACAGG
rnacentral:rRNA from 1 species